UUUUAUGGAGAGUUUGAUCCUGGCUCAGGACGAACGCUGGCGGCGUGCCUAAUACAUGCAAGUCGAGCGGAGUUUUAAAAGCUUGCUUUUAAAACUUAGCGGCGGACGGGUGAGUAACACGUGGGCAACCUGCCCUGUAGACUGGGAUAACUUCGGGAAACCGAAGCUAAUACCGGAUAAUCUUUGGA
rnacentral:rRNA from 1 species